GAAAAUUUUAACUUAGACGAAUCUGUAGAUACGCGUAAUUUUUCUGUCGACAAUAUUAUAAUUUGGAUUUUUUUAGAUAUUUUAAUUUGUAACUUCUCAGAAUUCGAAAGCAUCAAAAUUUUAUUUAUAAAUAUCGUAGAAGGCUAAUAAAAAGAAAAAGCCUGUUACUUAUUGACUAAAUCGAAAAUAGAAUCAGUUGCCGUGUUUUGGAUUCCCUAGAAAAACUUUCAAGGCGUGGUUUUCAUCAGUUUCCAUUCACUAGCAGAAAGCUAAAAUUCCGUCGCUGUUGGUUGCGUGAUAUAAAAUUUUAAAUAUAGUUUUAAUUUAAAUAUAUCCUAGAAAGCCAAUUAAAAAAGCUUGUUACUCUCAUUGGCUAAAUCGAUAAUUGGAUUGGUGGCCGAUUUUGGAUUCCUCAGAAAAACUUUCAAGGCGUGGUUUUCACCAGUUUUCAUUCCCUAGCGGAAAGUCGAAACUUUUGUCGCUGUUGGCUGCGUGAUAUAAAAUUUUAAAUAUCCUGUAAACGCUUUACAACAAUGACACACAGCUUGCAUAUUAAAUAGACUAAAUUCGACUUUAAUUAGGACUAAGCGGCCCACCGCAUCUAUAAUAAAAGCGUAAUGGCGAACAAGCGAUUAAACCAACAAGUUUCUCGAAUGUAGAUGAAAAUUUUCCGAUAACAGAUAUAUAUUUUUAUCGAUUAUUUUUCGAUUGCAGAGAGAUAUUUUCGAACGGAUAGUUAUUAGAAUUGCAAAUUUAUCGAACGAAAUCCGGUUUCGCGCUAACGGGAGAUUCUCAGUCCUGUCUGACUCCUUACUAUUCGGCCGAUGACUUUCGUACUUAUGGUAAUACAAGUUAAAUACUAGAACAGAUAACUUCAUUGAAACGAGCUUAAGGAGUUGUUUUUUUUUUUUUUUUGUAAAAUCCGCGUUAAAAAAAAUAGCAUUAAACAGUUAUCGAAAUUUUUAAGAUAGUUUAAACAAGGAAAAUUGCGAUUUUUAUUUAAAACUUGAAGCUCGUAAAUAUUGUUUAUUAUCAAACAAGCUUCGAAGAGACCAUGAUCGAUUUGAAAAAAUGUUUAUAGAAACCAUCAGAAUUUAAGAAAAAAAUGUGUAUUUUGAAAAAUUCGUCGCUCGAAAUAGUUGGCUAUUGGAAAAAUAAUAACAAUAAUAAUCCUUGGAUAAAUUUUGUUGUUUCGAGAAAUUCAUCUAUCUGCGAGAGCAAUAUUAUAAUCAGCUUAUUACUUUCGGCGAUAAAUUUCGUAUGUCAAGGCAAACAAGAACGAUUCUCACCAUAUAUAGUUUACGUCGUUUAUCUCCUAAAAACAGAAUACGCUAUGAAGCUAAAUAUGUGACUGAUAUGUUUCGUUCGGUAUCGAAAUCUUUCGUAUAAAAUAAGCAAAUAACCAAAC
rnacentral:lncRNA from 1 species